CCCUGAAAAUGGAUGGCGCUCGAGGUCGAGCCUAUACCCNACCGUCGCAGCACUACGAGCACCCCGGNCGCCAUGCUGCNACGAGUAGGAGGGCCGCCGCGGUGGCAUCGAAGCCUGGAGCGCGAGCUUGGGUGGAGCC
rnacentral:rRNA from 1 species